rnacentral:lncRNA from 1 species
UUUUAACCCGGAUAUAGUACUGACACAAAUGCCCUUCGGGACUUAUCACAUUUAUGCACUUUCACAUCCAUCACGUUGGCCACUCGGCCCUAUCACAUAUAUACACUUUCACAUUCAUCACAUCGGCCAUUAGGCCUUAUCACAUAUAUACACUUUCACAUUCAUCACAUCGGCCAUUAGGCCUUAUUACAUAUAUACACUUUCACAUUCAUCA